GCUGGAUACAGGUUGCGACCGGACGCGCUCGUCGCAGGCAGGUCAGUUCCAAUCUUACCCAGAUUUGUUUAUCGUAUCACCCGGCUCAGAGAACCUUGUCUUCCACGGUGGUUAAAAAAAAAGAAUUAAAUGAUAUACAGGUGUUUGUUGCAAUGGGAUCGACGAGAGAAUUGUAACCUGGGAUGUAAGACGAUGUGAACAAUGUUUUCCCUCUGGAAAAGAAUCAAUUUAUUGGACGAUCGGGUCAGGGAUCUGCCCCGAAACUUAGAACGGAAAAGUCAGUCGGUCGCCAAGUCUCGAAAGAAGUCAUAGAUGAAAAAUCGGUCGGAGGCAAAUCAACGAAAGAGAGACGAUUUCGUCCACGGAAAUUUCGCAUCUCCUGAAAUAUAUAUUUGUAAAUCUCGUCUUGGACUUCUAGUAGAUAAACAUUUUAAGAACUUCAUAGAAAAGAGAGGACAGUCGUUUUCUGUCACAGAAAGAAGACCUCAACCGUCACAUUCAGGAAGAGAGAAGAAAAAGGAAGACAUACAUACGGACUUUGCUAUAAAACAGAUUUUAUCGCCAAGUCAUACUCGUUUAAGUGAAAGGUCUCAUUGCCCGCCA
rnacentral:lncRNA from 1 species